rfam:Schistosoma margrebowiei strain Zambia genome assembly, scaffold: SMRZ_contig0004591
AUCCGGCUGACGAGUCCCAAAUAGGACGAAACGCGUGUCCUGGAU